AUUGAACGCUGGCGGCAUGCCUAACACAUGCAAGUCGAACGGCAGCACAGCAGUAGCAAUACUGUGGGUGGCGAGUGGCGGACGGGUGAGGAAUACGUCGGAAUCUGCCCAGUCGUGGGGGAUAACUAGCCGAAAGGUUAGCUAAUACCGCAUACGACCGAGAGGUGAAAGCGGGGGACCGCAAGGCCUCGCGCGAUUGGAUGAGCCGACGUCGGAUUAGCUAGUUGGCGGGGUAAAGGCCCACCAAGGCGACGAUCCGUAGCUGGUCUGAGAGGAUGAUCAGCCACACUGGAACUGAGACACGGUCCAGACUCCUACGGGAGGCAGCAGUGGGGAAUAUUGGACAAUGGGCGCAAGCCUGAUCCAGCAAUGCCGCGUGUGUGAAGAAGGCCUUCGGUGUAAGCACUUUAUCUAGACGAAAGACGUUGGAUUAAUAACUCUGACGUGCUGACGGUACCUGAGGAAUAAGCACCGGCUAACU
rnacentral:rRNA from 1 species